rnacentral:rRNA from 1 species
UACGUAGGGGGCGAGCGUUGUCCGGAGUUACUGGGCGUAAAGGGCGCGCAGGCGGUCUGGCAAGUUUGGAGUGACAGUGCUCGGCUUAACUGAGCAAGGCCUUCGAAAACUGCUAGACUUGAGCACUCAAGAGGGACAUAGAAUUCCGGGUGGAGUGGUGAAAUGCGUAGAUAUCCGGAGGAAUACCAAAGGCGAAGGCAGUGUCCUGGGGAGUGUCUGACGCUCAGGCGCGAAAGCUAGGGGAGCAAACAGG